UCAAGCUAUUAAGAGCAUAGGGUGGAUGCCUUGGCACCAGGAGCCGAUGAAGGACGUGGCAAGCUGCGAUAAGCCACGGGUAGGCGCAAACAGCCGUUGAUCCGUGGAUUUCCGAAUGGGGGAACCCACCAGAGGUCAAUGCUCUGGUACCUGCACAUGAAUCCAUAGUGUGCAGGGGGGAUACGCAGGGAACUGAAACAUCUAAGUACCUGCAGGAAAAGAAAUCAACCGAGAUUCCGUAAGUAGUGGCGAGCGAACGCGGAAGAGCCCAAACCGUGGUAUAGCAAUAUACUGCGGGGUUAAGGACUGGCGUAAUGAUCCUGAGCGCAUAGCAGAAUGAGGCACUGGAACGUGCAGACCACAGAGGGUAAGAGUCCCGUAUGCGAAAUGUGCGAAGGCAGGCCAGGAUCCAGAGUACCACGAGGCACGAGGAACCUUGUGGGAAGUCGGGGGGACCACCCUCCAAGGCUAAAUACUACCUGGUGACCGAUAGUGGAGCAGUACCGUGAGGGAAAGGUGAAAAGAACCCCGGGAGGGGAGUGAAAGAGAACCUGAAACCCUAUGUUUACAAGCAGUUGGAGGGCGUUAAGGCCCGACAGCGUACUUUUUGUAGAACGGUCCGGCGAGUUAUUGUAUGUGGCGAGGUUAAGGGCUUAAGGUCCGGAGCCGCAGGGAAACCGAGUCUGAAGAGGGCGAAUAGUCACAUGCAAUAGACCCGAAACCGGGUGACCUAUCCAUGGACAGGCUGAAACGAGAGUAAAAUCUCGCGGAGGGCCGAACCCACCGGUGUUGAAAAACCGGGGGAUGAGCUGUGGAUAGCGGUGAAAUGCCAAUCGAACCCGGAGAUAGCUGGUUCUCCCCGAAAUAGCUUUAGGGCUAGCCUCAGGUAAAAGUCUGACGGAGGUAAAGCACUGACUGGGCUAGGGGCCUUACCGGGUUACCGAACCCUAUCAAACUCAGAAUGCCGUACAGAUGUUUCCUGGGAGUCAGACUACGAGAGAUAAGUUCCGUAGUCGAGAGGGAAACAGCCCAGACCAUCAGCUAAGGUCCCAAAAUCGCGGUUAAGUGGCGAAGGAUGUGGGCUUGCUAAGACAACUAGGAUGUUGGCUUAGAAGCAGCCAUUCAUUCAAAGAGUGCGUAAUAGCUCACUAGUCGAGUGAGCCUGCGCCGAAGAUUUCCGGGGCUAAACCGCGUACCGAAGCUGUGGAUGCACUUUAAGUGCAUGGUAGGGGAGCUUACUGCGAUAGGCUGAAGGUCGACCGAGAGGACGGCUGGACGAGGCAGUAGUGAGAAUGCCGGAAUGAGUAGCGAGAGUAAAGUGAGAAUCUUUACCGUCGAAAGCCUAAGGUUUCCUGGGGAAGGCUCGUCCGCCCAGGGUUAGUCGGGACCUAAGCCGAGGCCGAAAGGCGUAGGUGAUGGACAACAGGUUGAUAUUCCUGUACUGCCGUUACUCGUUUGAGAGAAGUGGGGACGCAGGGGGAAUAGCUAAGCGAGCGACUGGAAGAGCUCGUCCAAGGGAGAUAGAUAGUCCGGCAGGCAAAUCCGCCGGACGUUUCGAAGGCCCGACGGGGAGGGAAAUUAGAGUACCGAAGUAGCGAUUUCCGCACUGACGAGAAAAGCCACUAUCGAGAGUAAAGGCACCCGUACCGCAAACCGACACAGGUAGGUGAGGAGAGAAUCCUAAGACGAGCGGGAGAAGCGUUGUUAAGGAACUCGGCAAAUUGACCCCGUAAGUUCGCGAGAAGGGGUGCCUCAGAGAUGAGGCCGCAGUGAAACGGCCCAAGCAACUGUUUAGCAAAAACACAGGUCUCUGCUAAAUCGAAAGAUGACGUAUAGGGGCUGACGCCUGCCCGGUGCUGGAAGGUUACGGGGAACUGUUAGCCGCGAGGCGAAGCAGUGAACUUAAGCCCCAGUAAACGGCGGCCGUAACUAUAACGGUCCUAAGGUAGCGAAAUUCCUUGUCGGGUAAGUUCCGAC
rnacentral:rRNA from 1 species